ensembl:lncRNA
GACUUCUGGGAGGAUAUGUUUUUCUUUACAUGCCAAGAAGUCGUGUUCCCAUCUUCCUGCCAUGAAUGAGGUUGAGUGCUGAUGUGAUGCUUGGAGCUGUGGCAGACAUCCUGCAACCGUAAAACCUGGCCCUGCUCAAGAAGAGAGGUCACAGCCAGUAAACCUUUGUAUCCUGAGGACAUAAAACAGUGCCCAACCUAUCAAAAGCAGUGUCCAACCUUCAUAGGUCAAUCAGUCGUGUCCGACUCCUUGCGACCCUGUGGACUGCAGCACAUCAGGCUUCCCUGUCUUCACUAUUUCCUGGAAUUUGCUCAGACUCACGCCCAUUGAGUUGGUGAUACCAUUCAACCAUCUCAUCCUCUGCAGUCCCCUUCUCCUCCUGCCCUCAAUCUUUCCUAGCAUCAGCAUCUUUUUCAGUGAGCCAGAUCUUUGCAUCAGGUGGCCAAAGUAUUGGAGCUUCAACGUCAGCAUCAGCCAUGGUGAGGGCACAAUCAAAUCUCUGAACCUUCCCUGAGCAGGCUUCUUCCCCCUUCCUUUCUACUUUUCAUAGGGCCAGAGAAGGUUCUGGAGGCAGUGGCUCCAAACUGCCCCUCCACAGUACCACCCUCUUAUCCAGCCUGCUUCCCUUGCUCAGUGCCUUGGAUCACUCUCAGCUGGCUGCUGCUCAUGCUGUUAUGAAGGUUUCAGAGGACUUCAGAUAUACCCACCCCUCUCUGCCCUUCUUGGUUUGUUUUUGGCCGAACCUUGCGGCAGGCAGAACUUCCCAGGCCGGAGAUCAAACCCAGACCCCUGCUGGCAGUGGUAUCGUAGUCUUAACCUGACUGACAGCACUCCUCUCCAAGUGUGGAACUCUUGGCUGAGAAAGGAUGUUCUCAGGCUGUUGAACAUUUCUGGGUUGUUGACACUGGAGGAUGAUUAAUGAUGCUACUUAGGAAGAGUGAGACAUUCGCAUUUCUGUCCAGUGGAGAAUCUAUUUCUAUCAGAGCUACUCUUGCUGCCCAAGGAAGCCGGCCAGUCCCCCCGUGAUGACUUACUGCUGAAGGAAGAACAGGCACAGGGCACCAUGUGGGCAUCAGGAACGGGGCCACCGCCUCGGCAUUCACCAGGAGCUGGUGUCUUGCAGACUCUAUCUCAGAGGGCACCAGCCUCUCAGGAACAUUGUUGCUAAAGAAUCUGUCACUCAGGUGAACUUUGAGCAGCUGCAAACAGAAGUUCCGAGGCAUGGUAUUCAACAUUCAGCAGAUGAUCGAAGCAUGCUUUUGAACUAACCAGCCUAGUCUCCACCAGUCAUGGGGAGAGGCAACCCCACUUGAUGACUGACUAAGUGGAACCAAGCAGAAAUUGUGUAAUUACUGACCUUGGUGUGAAGUGUUCCUGUGCAGCCCCUUCCCGAGCUGUGGGUGGGCACUUAAAAAGCCAGUUUCCUCCACCUCCAGCCCAAUCAGGGGGUUCCCCACCUGGAGAGGCUGUUAUUGUAAAGUAGCUCCAAGACCAGCUCAUUGGAGUGGAGAGGGACACUUCUCCAAGUGAACAGCUGUGCCAGCCUCCAAA